AGUGAACGCUGGCGGUAGGCCUAACACAUGCAAGUCGAACGGCAGCACAGUAAGAGCUUGCUCUUACGGGUGGCGAGUGGCGGACGGGUGAGGAAUACAUCGGAAUCUACUUUUUCGUGGGGGAUAACGUAGGGAAACUUACGCUAAUACCGCAUACGACCUACGGGUGAAAGCAGGGGAUCUUCGGACCUUUCGCGAUUGAAUGAGCCGAUGUCGGAUUAGCUAGUUGGCGGGGUAAAGGCCCACCAAGGCGACGAUCCGUAGCUGGUCUGAGAGGGUGAUCAGCCACACUGGAACUGAGACACGGUCCAGACUCCUACGGGAGGCAGCAGUGGGGAAUAUUGGACAAUGGGGGCAAGCCUGAUCCAGCCAUACCGCGUGAGUGAAGAAGGCCUUCGGGUUGUAAAGCCCUUUUGUUGGGAAAGAAAAGCAGCAGGUUAAUACCCCGCUGUUCUGACGGUACCCAAAGAAUAAGCACCGGCUAACUUCGUG
rnacentral:rRNA from 1 species